AACGAACGCUGGCGGCAUGCCUAACACAUGCAAGUCGAACGAGACCUUCGGGUCUAGUGGCGCACGGGUGCGUAACGCGUGGGAACCUGCCCUUAGGUUCGGAAUAACUCCCCGAAAGGGGUGCUAAUACCAGAUAAUGUCUUCGGACCAAAGAUUUAUCGCCUUUGGAUGGGCCCGCGUUGGAUUAGCUAGUUGGUAGGGUAAAAGCCUACCAAGGCGACGAUCCAUAGCUGGUCUGAGAGGAUGAUCAGCCACACUGGGACUGAGACACGGCCCAGACUCCUACGGGAGGCAGCAGUGGGGAAUAUUGGACAAUGGGCGAAAGCCUGAUCCAGCAAUGCCGCGUGAGUGAUGAAGGCCUUAGGGUUGUAAAGCUCUUUUACCCGGAAUGAUAAUGACAGUACCGGGAGAAUAAGCUCCGGCUAACUCCGUG
rnacentral:rRNA from 1 species